GCAGGUUUUGUGUGAUGAUUGAUGUUGUAAGAAAACCAGUGAGUGAUUUCUAUGUUACUUUGUUAAAACAUUUUGUACUCGUACUGUGUUGAUUUCUGGAAUAUAUGUAGAGAAGAACUGCUGGUAUCCCAUUUAACAUAGAAAAUCAUUUCAAGCAUUGCCAGGACUGAACCAUCCUAUUUGCAUAAUACCAACUGGAAGAUAUGACUACUGAGGAAUUUCUGCAAAUGCCACAUUAUCUUCUGAAUAUACAUGUUCAACUUAAAUGGCUAGUUUCAACCUUUGCCUCCUACUGACAAUGCAGUUGACCUGCAAAGGAGCUUACACUGUACAAUUUUCAUUUCUUUGCCAGGUGACAGAAUGACAACACAGAGGGAGAGAGAACCAAAGGACAUUUAUUGUACUUUACACCAGCAUAACAACAACAUGCAAUAUACCUUUCCAAUGUGGCUUCAUUGACCAGAAUUGAUAUUUAGAACAUGCAGAACUGGCAUAAGCAAGACCUUGGGCCAAAUGGUGUCACCUCACUUCCCAGAUACAACCUGCCAAGAAUAGCUCUGCACCAGGGUAAAAGAGACUGCCUCCCUCAAAGAGUUGCUGUUGUCUGUUAUCUUAGCCAUCUAAGAUAAAACUCCAACAAAAUGUUUGGCUUCUAGGAAGGCGCAAAGGACUUGUGCAGAAGGACUUGUGAAGAAUGGCUUUAGGUUCUUGUAAGCUGAGAGAGAUGACAGGAAGUGCAGCACCCAUCCAUCAGCUCAAUAGAAGGCCUUUCUUAUGAGAGUCCUUCCUCCCUCUGUUGUCUCCACCAGCAAUUGUUAUACUCCAGCAGGACCAGCUGAGGGGAAAAGCAUCCAUUCCACUGCCCAAUGAAAAAACUUCAUUCUGUGCCCCUUCCCUCCCUCUUCCUUUUUCCUUGUGUGCCACGUCUUUGAAAGUACAAGCCUGUAGGCAGGAGCUGUUUACUUUUAUUAAUUAUUUGUAAGUCAUUCCAGGAGACAUUUUGGCUGAGAAGAGGUAUAACAAUAAAUAUGCCUUAUUAUAUUACUA